rnacentral:rRNA from 1 species
CGGCAUGCUUAACACAUGCAAGUCGAACGAGAAAGCUUCUUCGGAAGUGAUUAAAGUGGCGCACGGGUGAGUAACGCGUAGACAAUCUGCCCUUCAGUCCGGGACAACUUUCCGAAAGGGGAGCUAAUACCGGAUAACAAUGUUUGACACAAGUUAAAUAUUUGAAAGCUCCGGCGCUGAUAGAUGAGUCUGCGUCCCAUUAGCUUGUUGGUGCGGUAGUGGCGCACCAAGGCCACGAUGGGUAGCGGGUUUGAGAGGACGAUCCGCCACACUGGAACUGAGACACGGUCCAGACUCCUACGGGAGGCAGCAGUGGGGAAUAUUGCACAAUGGAGGAAACUCUGAUGCAGCAAUGCCGCGUGAGUGAAGAAGGCCCUUGGGUCGUAAAGCUCUUUUAUGGGGGAAGAUGAUGACGGUACCCCAGGAAUAAGCACCGGCUAACUACGUGCCAGCAGCCGCGGUAAUACGUAGGGUGCGAGCGUUGUUCGGAAUUACUGGGCGUAAAGGGCGCGCAGGCGGAGGUGCAAGUCGGAGGUGAAAUCCCGGGGCUCAACCCCGGAGGGUCUUUCGAAACUGCAUCUCUAGAGAGGGUCAGGGGCCGGCAGAAUUCCUGGUGUAGAGGUGAAAUUCGUAGAUAUCAGGAGGAAUACCGGUGGCGAAAGCGGCCGGCUGGGGCCACUCUGACGCUGAGGCGCGAAAGCGUGGGGAGCAAACAGGAUUAGAUACCCUGGUAGUCCACGCCGUAAACGAUGAGCACUGGACGUUCGGAGGGUUCGACCCUUCUGGGUGUUUCAGCUAACGCAUUAAGUGCUCCGCCUGGGGAGUACGGNC